rnacentral:lncRNA from 1 species
CGUUAAUAUCGAUUAUCAUUUUAAUAUAAUUUUAUUUUUCUCUUUUUUCAGUGCCUUCAUUAACACUUUAAUAAAAUAUAUAAAAAAAUUUCAAACAUCCGCUGUAAUUUAUCGAAUAUUUAUUUUAGUACCUUAUAACUUACAAAAUUUUUAUUUUAGUAUUAUGUGAUUUUAACUUUCUCAUCGAUUUAACAAAAAAAUUAACAGAAGAGAUAAUAAAAAAAGAAAAAUAAAAAUACAGAGUAUUAAAGUGAUACAGUUUAAACUACGGGGUACUAAAGUGAGAAAGAGUUAAACCACAUGGGUGGUAUUUGAAAUUUUUCCAAAUUUUAUAACCAGCGUCCCCAAACUAGAUAUCAAGUUUAGUCUAUUUUGGAGACAGAUGGGUGCAA